rnacentral:rRNA from 1 species
AGUCGAGCGGAUGAGAAGAGCUUGCUCUUCGAUUCAGCGGCGGACGGGUGAGUAAUGCCUAGGAAUCUGCCUGGUAGUGGGGGACAACGUUUCGAAAGGAACGCUAAUACCGCAUACGUCCUACGGGAGAAAGCAGGGGACCUUCGGGCCUUGCGCUAUCAGAUGAGCCUAGGUCGGAUUAGCUAGUUGGUGAGGUAAUGGCUCACCAAGGCGACGAUCCGUAACUGGUCUGAGAGGAUGAUCAGUCACACUGGAACUGAGACACGGUCCAGACUCCUACGGGAGGCAGCAGUGGGGAAUAUUGGACAAUGGGCGAAAGCCUGAUCCAGCCAUGCCGCGUGUGUGAAGAAGGUCUUCGGAUUGUAAAGCACUUUAAGUUGGGAGGAAGGGCUGUUUCCUAAUACGAAGCAGUUUUGACGUUACCGACAGAAUAAGCACCGGCUAACUCUGUGCCAGCAGCCGCGGUAAU